UGGGUUAACUCGAGGGUUGCUGGCCAGCACAGCUCUAAGUGCUGCAAAGGCCUAUUUUGUGCCAUAUUUCAAUAAAUAAAAAUACAUACAACAUGGAAAACAGCCUUUCCACCCAGUCCUCACUGACCAUCCGCCACUCAUCCCACAUUAAUCCUUUUUCUCCCCCCAUUAUCAUCAACCUCCCCCAAUUCCACCAUUCACUUAGACACAUUCAGUACUGCCGCCAAGUUUCCCCAUGAACCACACAUCUUUGGGAUGAGGUUGGACACCCACAGGGCGAACAUGCAAACUCGUAAACAAACAGCACCUUUGAACCCAGAUCUCCGGCACUGAGAAACAGUGACCCUGCUAACUGCACCACUGGACUAGCCACGAUUCAAUAAGGUAGUUGCAGAGAAAACACUUAGACAAGGUGAUGACCAAAGCAGGACGCUAAUUGGAAAUGGGCAGAGGCUAUAAGAAGAAUGAGAUGAUAAUGAAAUUGGACUUUGGAAUGUGAAACUCACUCUUUCACGGAGUGCUUGGGAGGAAGAGCUGAGACGGAAUUAUGAGGAAGUUGAAAUAAACGCGAGGGAGAAGGGAUAUGGAUAUGGUGAUGAAGAGAGAUGCUGGUAUCACAUGAAUACUAGCAGUGACUGGUUGGGCUAAAUGACCUAUUCUGACUUUUCUAUGCCAUUUCUAUGCACAUUUUCAUCCUCUAACAUCACAUUGCCAUUAAGAAUACCAACAGUAUGGAGAAAAUGUAGACCAGUCACAAACAAGAGAAAAUCUGCAGAUGCUGGAAAUCCAAGCAACACUCACAAAAUGCUGGAGGAACGCAACAGGCCGGGCAGCAUCUAUGGAAAAGAGUAUUCAGUUGACGUUUCAGGCCGAGACCCUUCAUCAGGCCCGAAAUACAGACCGGAGAGAACGUCCGGGAACAGCUGAAAAUAGACCAGUUCACUGCCAUAAGCAGAUAUUACAGUUCAGCGAGGUGUCAACUUCAUUCACGAAGGGACAAAGUGUUUACUGAUAUUGCACAGAAGAUACAAAAGCCUGAAAGCGCAUAUACCACCAGGCUCAAGGACAGCUUCUAUCCUGCAGCUGUAAGAUCAACGAAUAGUCCCCCAGCACAAUAAGAUGGAGUCUAGACCUCAUAGCCAACAUCAUCAUGUGAGGGGUUGACUUAUUUGCCGGUCAAAAGCCACUUCCACCGUGUCGGUUGCUGCUUGGCCCGUUCAUCGGAUGCAGCAGCUCUUUCCCAUCGGUUUCGUUGUGUGUCACGGCACUGGAUUCCAGUUCCAGACCUCUCGGGUACAAGAAUAGCAAGUGUGAGAGACUUGCUCUUUCCUUUAUCUCCAGGACAUGCUUCAGGCUGAAGUCGUGACCAGCACUGAAGGACCACAGGGAAAGAGCAUUGCAGACAUAAAUGGACCCCUACUGUUUACUUGAGUCUUGCACCUUACUGUCUACCUAGAAGACCCUAACCUGGACUUACACAUUGGCUUCAGCUCUUUGCGGGAAUGGGACCUGUUCUCGGGGUUUCAAGACUGGCUGUUGUUCUGCACGCCAAGGGUUCGGCCUGAGAGUGCAAGCCUAAGGUCUCAGGGCUCCGGAGAUGGGCGGAUCGAGGGUUGGUGUCACAGCAGGAGACCAGUGUGUCGUCGGGGAGUCGGGACAUCUGCUGUGGGCCCAAAGACUCGGGAUGUUUGCAACCUUCAGGCACAGAACUCGGAAAAAAAAGCGACGUAACGGACUUUUAACAUCGUAAACCAGCGAGUUGUUUGUCAUGUCUCCAUUUUCCCAGCGAGCGGGGAGACACCUUUCUCUCCCUUAUUAGCGAGAGAAUCUGUGGUAUGUCGAAUGCUGGGUGUAACACAAAGUCUUUGGGUAACUGCAAGUCUUGUGUCUUUGCUGUUGCUUUGUUCAUGCUUGAGUGCUCGGUGGGGGGUACAAAUGCUUUUUUUGCCCAUAGGGGGAGGGGGGAUUGUUGCUUGCUGCUGCUUACGCGCAGGGGAGGGAUCUUUGGGGUUUUUAACGUUUAUCUGUCAUUCAUUCUUUGGGGCACUCCUCUGUUUUCGUGCAUGGUUGUGAAGAAAAAGCAUUUCAGGAUCUAUGUUUUAUACAUUUCUCUGACGUUAAAUUGGAACUUUGGACCUUUGAAACUAAACUGCAUUUUCUCUGUAGCUGUUGCAUUCUGUCAUCACUUUUCAAUUGUACUACCUCAAUGUGAUGACAUUAUCUGUUAGGAUGCUACACAAAAGUUUUUUUUUACUGUACCCCUGUGCAGGUCAAAUAAUAAACCAAAUUUUCAAUCCA